GAAUAAUGCAUGCAAUCAGGUUUCCGGAGAGAUCCGGGACUAAGAGGGAAGACGGUGUAAAUCCGUCGCGGGCCCGCCGCUGUAAUCGGGGACGAAACCGGUGAGAACCACUGCAAUGUUCGUAAACUCUGAGGAACUUGCGGGAAGGUAUCGGGAAUAGGUUGAACCGAGAGCCAGAAGACCUGCCUGACUAGCUUUAAUUUU
rnacentral:ncRNA from 2 species